rnacentral:lncRNA from 1 species
GCGGCGGAAGGCUGGAUUUGGCGUUGGGGCUGGGGCCGGCGGUGCCUGGGAAGGCCUGGGCUUCUCGGCCCCGGCCCUGGCCCCACUACACCUCUCUUUCUUCUUUUGUUGUUGGGGUCUGUGACUGCGGAUAUAACUGACGGCAACAGUGAACAUCUCAAGCGGGAGCAUUCGCUCAUUAAGCCCUACCAAGGGGUCGGUUCCAGCUCUAUGCCCCUCUGGGACUUCCAGGGCAGCACUAUGCUCACGAGCCAGUACGUACGUCUGACCCCUGACGAGCGCAGCAAAGAGGGCUCUAUCUGGAACCACCAGCCGUGCUUCCUCAAAGACUGGGAAAUGCACGUCCACUUCAAAGUCCACGGCACAGGGAAGAAGAACCUCCAUGGAGACGGCAUCGCCUUGUGGUACACCCGGGACCGCCUCGGCCUGUGUUUGGAAGCAAAGAUAACUUCCACGGCUUAGCCAUCUUCCUGGACACCUACCCCAAUGAUGAGACCACUGAGCGCGUGUUCCCGUACAUCUCGGUGAUGGUGAACAAUGGCUCCCUGUCCUACGACCACAGCAAGGAUGGGCGCUGGACCGAGCUGGCGGGCUGCACGGCUGACUUCCGCAACCGCGAUCACGACACCUUCCUGGCUGUGCGCUACUCCCGGGGCCGUGAUGACCGACCUGGAGGACAAGAACGAGUGGAAGAACUGCAUUGACAUCACGGGAGUGCGCCUGCCCACCGGCUACUACUUCGGGGCCUCCGCCGGCACCGGCGACCUACAAUCAUGACAUCAUCUCCAUGAAGCUGUUCCAGCUGAUGGUGGAGCACACGCCCGACGAGGAGAGCAUCGACUGGACCAAGAUCGAGCCCAGCGUCAACUUCCUCAAGUCGCCCAAAGACAACGUGGACGACCCCACGGGGAACUUCCGCAGCGGGCCCCUGACGGGGUGGCGGGUGUUCCUGCUGCUGCUGUGCGCUCUCCUGGGCAUCGUUGUCUGCGCCGUGGUGGGGGCCGUGGUGUUCCAGAAGCGGCAGGAGCGGAACAAGCGCUUCUACUGAGUGGCGCCUCCGGCGGGGCCUGUCCCUGGGCCCAGGAGCCAAUGUGAACUUUUUUUUUUACCGGGAUUAUAAAAGAACAACAAGAUGACCUUAUUUCUUAACUGUUUCAAAUAAAUGAUUAAAGUAUUUUCAUACAUUUUGCUUCUUGCCCAGCAGGGACAGGUGGCAGAGCCGAGGCUUAGGGUCUGGCACCCCCCACAGCUGGAGACGGAGGCUCUCCUGGGGCUGGUGUCUCAGGAGCAGGGGUCUGUGUCUACAGAUGGGCUGUGGCCCCUGCAGGCAGCUGUUGAACACUGGAGGGUCCCCCGGACCACACUGGGGUGGGCUCCUGAGGACGUGGGGAAGUGAUUUUGUUUUGUGGUGUGUGGCACGUGUGGCGACGGAUAAGGCCUGAACUGGGAAACCCAGGCCUUCCUGUUCACCCUGAGCUGCUUCCUGAGACAGAUGCUCAAGUGAGGCUGCAGGCGCGGUGUGGUGGGGCCGAGUGUGACCGUUUGCUAAAUAAAGUGAAAUACCCAACCUC